CAUGACGUCAUUGCGUAGUAUUACUAAAAUUCCAUUCAACAUGGCACCUUUGAAUAACCCGAAAAGUCUAAGAAUAGUAACUGUUCCUAAAUCGUAAAAAAGAUCUCAAGUUAUAAUUUUGUUAUCGACUCGCCGUACAAUUUCUUUGAAUUCGCAACAACGACCGCCUGGGUGAGCCCAAGUUGAAACCGGCAUGCAUCAAAAUAUUAAACUUGAUGUUAUGUCUUUUAUAGUGUCGUUGGCAGGAAAUGUCACUUGAGACACGAAACUUAAAAUACGUUUCAAUUUUUUGCCGAUUUUCUCACUUAAAAGAAAGGAAUACUUAACUGGAAAACAAGCGAUGAACUGGAGGAAAUGUAUAUCCUCAACUCAAAGAAUGAAUUGGUUUCAUUUCUGAGGCAAACGGGUCGCUUCACUGGCAUUGUGUGUUGACGGCACGUGCACUCGUUUCAAGCAUAUUUUAUCAGUCAGAGAUGACAGGGUUAUUUCCAGAUCUUGAACCGGUUUGCUUUAUAACUGAGGAAGUACCAAGAGAGG